rnacentral:rRNA from 1 species
AGUGAACGCUGGCGGUAGGCCUAACACAUGCAAGUCGAACGGCAGCACAGUAAGAGCUUGCUCUUACGGGUGGCGAGUGGCGGACGGGUGAGGAAUACAUCGGAAUCUACUUUUUCGUGGGGGAUAACGUAGGGAAACUUACGCUAAUACCGCAUACGACCUACGGGUGAAAGCAGGGGAUCUUCGGACCUUGCGCGAUUGAAUGAGCCGAUGUCGGAUUAGCUAGUUGGCGGGGUAAAGGCCCACCAAGGCGACGAUCCGUAGCUGGUCUGAGAGGAUGAGCAGCCACACGGGAACUGAGACACGGUCCAGACUCCUACGGGAGGCAGCAGUGGGGAAUAUUGGACAAGGGGCGCAAGCCUGAUCCAGCCAUACCGCGUGGGUGAAGAAGGCCUUCGGGUUGUAAAGCCCUUUUGUUGGGAAAGAAAAGCAGCAGGUUAAUACCCCGCUGUUCUGACGGUACCCAAAGAAUAAGCACCGGCUAACUUCGUG